rnacentral:rRNA from 1 species
UACAACUUUCAACAACGGAUCUCUUGGCUCUCUCAUCUAUGAAAAACGCACCGAAAUGCGAUACGCAAUGUGAAUAGCACAAUUCAGAGAAUCAUCUAAUCUUUGAACGCACCUUGCGCCCCUUGGGAUUUCGAGGGGCGCACCCGUUUGAGAGUGGUG